rnacentral:rRNA from 1 species
UGAGGAAUAUUGGUCAAUGGGCGAGAGCCUGAACCAGCCAAGUAGCGUGCAGGAUGACGGCCCUAUGGGUUGUAAACUGCUUUUAUAUGGGAAUAAAGUGAGGGACGUGUCCCUUAUUGCAUGUACCAUAAGAAUAAGGUCCGGCUAAAUACGUGCCAGCAGCCGCGGUAAUACGUAUGGACCGAGCGUUGUCCGGAAUCAUUGGGCGUAAAGGGUACGUAGGCGGCCCAGUAAGUUAGAAGUGAAAUAAUAUAGCUCAACUAUAUAAAGCUUUUAAAACUGCUAGGCUUGAGAGAUGGAAGGGAAAGUGGAAUUCCUAGUGUAGCGGUGAAAUGCGCAGAUAUUAGGAAGAAUACCGGUGGCGAAGGCGACUUUCUGGUCAUCAUCUGACGCUGAGGUACGAAAGCGUGGGUAGCAAACAGG